UACGUAGGGUGCAAGCGUUGUCCGGAAUUAUUGGGCGUAAAGGGCUCGUAGGCGGUUCGUCACGUCGGGAGUGAAAACUCGGGGCUUAACCCCGAGCCUGCUUCCGAUACGGGCAGACUAGAGGUAGGCAGGGGAGAGCGGAACUCCUGGUGUAGCGGUGGAAUGCGCAGAUAUCAGGAAGAACACCGGUGGCGAAGGCGGCCUGCUGGGCGAGUGAGCUG
rnacentral:rRNA from 1 species